rnacentral:rRNA from 1 species
GACGUAGGGCGCGAGCGUUGUCCGGAUUUAUUGGGCGUAAAGAGCUCGUAGGCGGCUUGUUGCGUCGACUGUGAAAACCCGCGGCUUAACCGCGGGCUUGCAGUUGAUACGGGCAGGCUAGAGUUCGGUAGGGGAGACUGGAAUUCCUGGUGUAGCGGUGAAAUGCGCAGAUAUCAGGAGGAACACCGGUGGCGAAGGCGGGUCUCUGGGCCGAUACUGACGCUGAGGUGCGAAAGCGUGGGGAGCAAACAGGAUUAGA